RGGGGGACGGAGAAGGCUAUGUUAGCCGGGCGACGGUUGUCCCGGUUUAAGCAUGUAGGCUGGUUAUCCAGGCAAAUCCGGAUAAUCAAGGCUGAGGUGUGAUGACGAGGCACUACGGUGCUGAAGUAACAAAUGCCCUGCUUCCAGGAAAAGCCUCUAAGCAUCAGGUAACAUCAAAUCGUACCCCAAACCGACACAGGUGGUCAGGUAGAGAAUACCAAGGCGCUUGAGAGAACUCGGGUGAAGGAACUAGGCAAAAUGGUGCCGUAACUUCGGGAGAAGGCACGCUGGUGUGUAGGUGAAGUCCCUGCGGAUGGAGCUGAGACCAGUCGAAGAUACCAGCUGGCUGCAACUGUUUAUUAAAAACACAGCACUGUGCAAACACGAAAGUGGACGUAUACGGUGUGACGCCUGCCCGGUGCCGGAAGGUUAAUUGAUGGGGUUAUCCGUAAGGAGAAGCUCUUGAUCGAAGCCCCGGUAAACGGCGGCCGUAACUAUAACGGUCCUAAGGUAGCGAAAUUCCUUGUCGGGUAAGUUCCGACCUGCACGAAUGGCGUAAUGAUGGCCAGGCUGUCUCCACCCGAGACUCAGUGAAAUUGAACUCGCUGUGAAGAUGCAGUGUACCCGCGGCAAGACGGAAAGACCCCGUGAACCUUUACUAUAGCUUGACACUGAACAUUGAGCCUUGAUGUGUAGGAUAGGUGGGAGGCUUUGAAGCGUGGACGCCAGUCUGCGUGGAGCCAACCUUGAAAUACCACCCUUUAAUGUUUGAUGUUCUAACGUUGGCCCCUGACCGGGGUUGCGGACAGUGUCUGGUGGGUAGUUUGACUGGGGCGGUCUCCUCCCAAAGCGUAACGGAGGAGCACGAAGGUUAGCUAAUCCUGGUCGGACAUCAGGAGGUUAGUGCAAUGGCAUAAGCUAGCUUGACUGCGAGCGUGACGGCGCGAGCAGGUGCGAAAGCAGGUCAUAGUGAUCCGGUGGUUCUGAAUGGAAGGGCCAUCGCUCAACGGAUAAAAGGUACUCCGGGGAUAACAGGCUGAUACCGCCCAAGAGUUCAUAUCGACGGCGGUGUUUGGCACCUCGAUGUCGGCUCAUCACAUCCUGGGGCUGAAGUAGGUCCCAAGGGUAUGGCUGUUCGCCAUUUAAAGUGGUACGCGAGCUGGGUUUAGAACGUCGUGAGACAGUUCGGUCCCUAUCUGCCGUGGGCGCUGGAGAAUUGAGGGGGGCUGCUCCUAGUACGAGAGGACCGGAGUGGACGCAUCACUGGUGUUCGGGUUGUCAUGCCAAUGGCACUGCCCGGUAGCUAAAUGCGGAAGAGAUAAGUGCUGAAAGCAUCUAAGCACGAAACUUGCCCCGAGAUGAGUUCUCCCUGAGACUAUAAGUCUCCUGAAGGAACGUUAAAGACGAUGACGUUGAUAGGCCGGGUGUGUAAGCGCAGCGAUGCGUUGAGCUAACCGGUACUAAUGAACCGUGAGGCUUAACCUUACAACGCCGAAGAUGUUUUG
rnacentral:rRNA from 2 species